AAAAAUGCCAUAUGGCAUGUGCAUCAUCACAAAAAAUACGAUGAGCUCCAAACUCUGCAAGUGUCUUCGUGCCACAGGGAUGCACAACCUGCAUUAGCAAAAAAAAGUACCAUCUGUCAUUAAUGAAGAAAGUAUCUCGGCCUGGUUCUUCCUAGUGGUGGCAAGCAAAAGAAAACCAAACCUGUCGUUGUUCACUGCAUGUAGAAAACUAUUGAGAACAGCUCUGGCAGAAUUUUAGUGUUUAAGAACUGCAAAGGACAGGUUAACUAUGAGAUUAUUGCACCACAAAAUCCAAUUGAAAAGCACCCAACGAAAUUCCAGCAUAGACCACACACUUUCCACUGCCAAGGAGUCUUUUGCUGGAGUCACUAAUUUUUCAGAUGAUUGCACACUGAGGAUAACUUAUUUCUCCAGUGAAAUACUGAUACAACGUAUAAGGAAUAAAAAUGGGCAAUAAAUG